rnacentral:rRNA from 1 species
AUUGAACGCUGGCGGCAGGCCUAACACAUGCAAGUCGAGCGAGCGGCGGACGGGUGAGUAAUGUAUGGGGAUCUGCCGGAUAGAGGGGGAUAACUACUGGAAACGGUAGCUAAUACCGCAUACUCUCGGAUGAACCCAUAUGGGAUUAUAUAGUAGGUGAGGUACUGGCUCACUUAGGCGACGCUCCCUAGCUGGUCUGAGAGGAUGAUCAGCCCCACGGGGACUGAGACACGGCCCAGACUCCUACGGGAGGCAGCAGUGGGGAAUAUUGCACAAGGGGCGGAAGCCUGAUGCAGCCAUGCCGCGUGUAUGAAGAAGGCCUUCGGGUUGUAAAGUACUUUCAGCGGGGAGGCGUUACCCGCAGAAGAAGCACCGGCUAACUCCGUGCCAGCAGCCGCGGUAAUUC